rnacentral:tRNA from 1 species
GGCCCCAUCGUCUAGUCGGCCUAGGACAUCGGAUUUUCAGUCCGAGAACAGGGGUUCGAAUCCCCUUGGGGUCA